CCUACGGGCGGCAGCAGUGGGGAAUAUUGGACAAUGGGGGCAACCCUGAUCCAGCCAUGCCGCGUGUGUGAAGAAGGCCCUCGGGUUGUAAAGCACUUUCAGUGAGGAAGAACGCCUGGUGGUGAAUACCCAUCAGGAAAGACAUCACUCACAGAAGAAGCACCGGCUAACUCCGUGCCAGCAGCCGCGGUAAUACGGAGGGUGCGAGCGUUAAUCGGAAUUACUGGGCGUAAAGCGCGCGUAGGUGGCUUGAUAAGCCGGUUGUGAAAGCCCCGGGCUCAACCUGGGAACGGCAUCCGGAACUGUCAAGCUAGAGUGCAGGAGAGGACGGUAGAAUUCCCGGUGUAGAGGUGAAAUGCGUAGAGAUCGGGAGGAAUACCAGUGGCGAAGGCGGCCUUCUGGACUGACACUGACACUGAGGUGCGAAAGCGUGGGUAGCGAACAGGAUUAGAUACCCUAGUAGUC
rnacentral:rRNA from 1 species